CACCUGCACCAGCAGGGGAGGGGCAGAGAGAGAGAGAGAGAGAGAGAGAGAGAGAAAAUCCCAAGGAGGCUCUACGCUCAGUGCAGAGCCCGACGCGGGGCUUGAUCCCACGACCCUGGGACCCGACCUGACCUGACUCUUUUCCCAGCAGCAGCUGCUCCUGGAGGAGAGCCAGGCGGAGACUGUGUUCGGAGGAAGCACGCCCGCCCAGCCCCGGGCCCCCGCGUGUUUUCCGAGGCCUUGACAGACGGCUGCCCCGAGGCCAUGCAGAGACCCAGACGUUAUUCAGUUACAAAAAAAAAAAAAAAAAAAAAAAAAAAAAUCAAACAGCAGCAAACCUCAGUGGAAUGCUACGGUUUCCAAGUUUCCUCAACGCAGUCCUCCCUGCAAAUCACCCACGAGGCUUGGCGGGCCACUUCAAAGGGCUCCUCUGUCUUAAAUUCCAAUAAACGUAUUUAUUAAUACACUUGAAUAAACCCCUUGGUUCCUCUUCUUCCUUAACGAAGAUCUGCUCUACGCUUUCCCACGUACCGGCGGGUCACAGCACCACACCACGGGGAAGCCUUCACCUGUGCCGGGGGCUGGAAUGCAACUCUGACAAAACCAAAGGGAGAAAAACAGAAAAACAAGGACACGGGCAGGGCUCACAAAAACUCGUUUUAUUGCACCCGGAUCUUGGCAACGUCUGGGGCGCCUCAGCCCCGGGAGCGGAGGCGUGGCUCACGGGACGCAGUGGGCUGAGCCCACCGGGAAAAGGCAGGUGAGUGAGGCCAAUGGGAGAGGGGGACCCUUCCCCCCAAACACAAAGUUAAAUUAAACCCAUGUUCUAAGUCAACCAAGUGACUGCUAUCAUAUAAAAGCUUUCGUUACUUAUAUAUAUUUAUAUAUUUACACAUCCCCUAGAGUUUGGACUGACUUUCCGGGCUCACCCUUUCCCCUUCCCAGUGUGGCUGACGACCUUCUGCGGGAGGAAAGGGCUUGCCCCUAUGAACAGUGAUGAAUGCCGUAGACAGGCCAGUGCUCAGCACCGCCCAAGACACAACGGGCAUGUUUUCCUAGAAAAAGGUUUCAUAAUUACACAGUGGAUGAGGGAAGAGCCUGGUCUGAAGAGGGAGCAAGAAAAGAGACAAAUUCUGUGUUGCAGACAAUGAACUUCCCUUUUCAACUAUAGAACGUUCCAGAAAAAUAGGGCCAUACAAGAAUGAAGGUCAACACUGCAAGGGGGGGGGGUAAAAAAAAAGAGCCCUGCCCAUAAAGGCCCCUGUCUUCCCCCCCAAACGGGCAGAUGACAAGGCCAUAGAACACUGGGGACUGGGGUGGGGUGGGGUGGGGAGCAACCUUUAUCUACGAACAAGGUUCCGUCCCCUGAAAAAGCAAAAGGCCCCCGCACAGGUGACACAGCACCCAAGCUUCCUGCUGGGACCAGAAGCAGCCCCAGAACGGGCCAGGGUAUUAGUACUCUCCCACCUUUUCCAAAGAGAAAUAGGACAGGAAGGAAAACCAAACACAACUAUCUCCGUGAAAAAAUUAACGUACCUCCCUCUGUGAAACACUAACGCUUUUUCUGAUCCCCCCCCCCCCCCCGGCCCCAGAGCAAGCGGCAAGGCUCGGGAAGAGUGUGGCACCGGGGUGCCGGACAAGGGCAUCGGCGGGCCUCAGGCCGCGAGGGACAGACAGGUCCACACCAGACGUCAGUCCACCUCCACGCGGACGUUCCCAAGAGGAAAGGACGCGCAGAUGUGUUCCGUGGAGUCGCUCUAAGAUUGACCUCUACGCCCUCUACUACUGGGUCACGUGUCUGUUCUCCGGAAAACGCCACCUCAACUGAGGGUUUCCCACAUUUAUUAAAUUACGAGUUCGCAGGCACAGCUUGAGCAAGAUAAAAAAGUGAUCUCGAAUCAUACAAUCAUCUAAAUUCAAAAGCACUCACAAAAUUGAGCAAAUAAAGCUGGUAUCGCGUACUGGGGGAAGGAAACAUAUUGCUGAUGGAAGCCACAGACCUG
ensembl:lncRNA